rnacentral:rRNA from 1 species
AUUCCUACGCUACCGUCAGCUACCAACACGUUGGUAGGUUUCUUGGCGUGAAAAGCAGUUUACAACCCAUAGGGCCGUCAUCCUGCACGCGGGAUGGCUGGUUCAGACUCUCGUCCAUUGACCAAUAUUCCUC